CUGAGAUCCUGGAAUCCAGCAGGGUCCCUGGCCGCCUCCUGGAACACUUGCCUCACCCCACAGGGCUCCUGGGCCCCACGGCAGCUCCAGCGGCUGCCUGGGGUCCCCCUGGGCAAACCAUGCUACCCCUCCGGCUGCACCUCAGGACCUCCCGCCCCCUCUCUCCUUCCCAGAGUCCAGCAGCUGGUCCCACAGCAUCACUGUGAGUGCAGGGCCGGAGCCCUCACCCCGCGCCUCCCACCACCUGCCCCUCCGCAGACUCCACACCGUGCACCCGGCCCUGCGGCUCCUGGCCUUCCUUGACCUCGCAGAUGCCCUGCUCUCUGGUCUGAGGGCUGUGAUUCCUCCCAGACGCCACCUCCUUCCAGGGAGAAUUCAGUUUCUUGUCCAUGGAGAAGCUGCUCCUGGGAAGGAGGACGCCAGGGGUCCCUUCAUCUCCUCCUCGGCCGCCUGGCAGGGCCUCCUGCGCGUCCCUGCUCCCUCCUGCCUCCACGGCUGUGAUGCAGACGCCUCCCACGUUUACCAAGUGUGCAGAACAGACUGGUGGUCUUUUUUUUAAAAUUAACUACAUUUUACUGAUCCCUGGGUGAAAGAUAAAACACAUAAGCAAA
rnacentral:lncRNA from 1 species